CAGGGCGUUGCUUUUUCAUGUCAGUGGGGUCAUGGGGUUAGAUGGAUGUAGUACUAUUCUAGUGCCUUCUCCAAAUUUCGGGUGCUUGGGUAGUGAGUCGUCGAGACAGGACGCCGCGGCGGCGGCGGCAAGCGAUGCAGCUGAUACGUGGAUCUACUUUCCUGGAGGAGGUCGGCGAGAGUAUGGUGCUGGCUCCUGCGGCAGAGCAUGGUGCGGUGGGGCGGGCAGGGGCGAUUGGGGAUGUAAAGGUGCCGGAGCAGCAAUUGGUAGGAGCGGGUGAAGUGGAGCAGACAGUGGCUGUUGGGGAUUCCCUGGCGGCCGAACAAGUGUGAUGGUGGAUUUCAUGGCGACGGAGCAGGUUGUUGAGGAGCUGGCGCCGGCGGCUCAGCGGCGGCAGAAAGAGGGAGAGCUUUCCCGCGGCUUCGGAGCUGUCAACUGGGAAGAUGAACCCCCGGGCUCCUGGAUGGAACAAAAGGGGAAAGCUGAUGUCGAUAACACAAGGUCUUGCUGCUGCAAAUGUCCUGCUCUCAUAAUGCUUCUACGAGCAGAAGACAAUGGUUGGUACAUUGCGGAGCAUAGAGAGACUCACAACCACUCGCUUUCACCUAACUUUGGUGAGACAAUCCACUGGCCAUCACACAAGCACAUAGAUGUUUACACCAGGGAUCUUGUGAAGCAGUUUAGGCAGAACAAUGUGAACCUCGCUAAGGUGUACAGUAUCAUAGGAAGUUUAUUUGGAUCGAUGGAAAAUGUUCCAUUCACAAAGAGGUCUUUGUGUAAUCUAUGUGGGAAGAUAAAAAGGGACCAUGCAGAUGAUGAUGUGAAGAAACGAUGGAUGUGUUUGCGUAGAUUAGAGCUGAAGAUCCACACUUCACAUACAGGGUUCAGGCUGACAGUUAAGGGAGGAUCAAGAAAUCUGAGAAAGUGGGAGCAACAGGCUGCAGUACCCCUUCGUUGGGGCUGUCAUAACAUUCGACACGACAUGCAGGACCAACCUAUAUGACAUGCCUUUCGGCCUUUUUGUUGGGGUUAACAAUCACUUUCAGAGCAUGAUUGGCUGGUGUUCUUGUUCGCGAUGAGACCCAAGAGAGUUUCGAGUGUUUUUUUUUCAGAAUUCCUAAGAAUGAUAGGUGGUUCUCCACCCAUGACCAUACUUAAAGAUCAAAACAGUGCCAUGGAGUUGGCUAUCAAAAACAUUAUGCCGGGGACAACACACAGAUGGUGCAAAUGGCACGUCCUGAAUAAAGCAAAAGAGUCAUUGGGUGCUCUGUACACAAAGAAGAGCGAUUUCAGGGCUGAAUUUUAUAAAGUGAUAAACCAUAUGCUGAAAGAAGAUGAAUUUGAGAAAGGGUGGGAAAUGUUGCUGGACAAAUACAAGCUAAGGGCACACCCAUACAUGACGAAGCUGUUUGAGAUUCAGAAGAAAUGGGCUAAACCUUAUUUUAAGGGUAUUUUUGUGCAAAGAUGACCAACACAUAGAGGAGUGAGAGCGCGAACCAUAUGCUAAAAAAUUAUGUGCCUCCUGGGUGCCCAAUGCACAUGUUUGUGCAGAAGUACACAAGGCUACAAUUCGACCGGGAAUCGGAGGAGAACUAUGAAGAAAAAGAAUGUGAAUUGGAGGCCACUCAUGAGGGCAAACCUGGCAGUGGAGAGGCAUGCUAGCAAGAUAUAUACAAGGGCCAUGUUCCAACAGUUUGGGUAUAUAUUGUACAAUGUGGAGCUUAUCAGGUGGAAGAGGUCGAGAAACACAAGACAUAUCUUGCAAUCCACAGUGAAGCAGAAAAGAGAGAGAAGUGGUGCAGAUGUCAUACAAGGUAACUACACGAUGUGCAGAUGAAGGGCUGGGAAGAUCCCUCUGAGAUGUUUUGGCUGUGCUACCACCACCGGACGGAGCUGCUAGAACGGAUAUUUUGCUGUGUUCCUUGACGAUGACUGCUCCGCGGCGGAGUGCUUGGAACGGGCAUAGCACACAGUGGAGUGGUGACAUAACUACACGAUGUGUGCAGUGGCAUGAGGGCCAGCAAAAAAACAUUUGAAAAUUAAGCGGCACUACCAUGAGAUAUGGCCGGCACUUACCGAUGUGCCACUGUAAGAUGUGACCGGCUUUCCAACAUCAGUAGCCAUGGUUGUCAUCCUCCGCAUUGAGUCUUGAUCAAAUAACUUUACCCUCAGCAACUCGGAAUGUUGCUUGUUGGACAUCCCAAGGGCGAGGUUGUCCAGCAGGAAUAUCUGUGAGUGCAACAGUUUGUUAGCUCCCAAAAAAAUGAAAAUAACUAGUGUCAUGAAUUUGGGGCCUCCAUAAACAGUAUUACCUGGAGAAACAAGUAGCAUCCAACUAAGUUGGUGGCGGGGUUGCCUGACCGGAUAUUAUUCUUUAGCCUCCUAACACCAGCGAGCAGGCAUUGAAUCACAUACUCACACCAGUUGAACUGCUUAAUCGUCUCAGUAUUAGCCAGUGUUCCCCAGAAAUCAAUAGUGGCAUAUCCAUGCUUUCUGAAAAAUUCAGUAUCUUGUUCUCUGCCAGGACAAUGGUGCGGCGGGUGGUGCUUACCUUACUCAUUGUCCAUGCACUGAAUUUCAGGUUUAGUUUCUGCAGCAUUUGAAGGUCAAGCAUACCCCAAACCCAAUGCUCGUAACAAGAAAUUGCUUGAACUCAUUGAAUGUCUAGAUGACAUCGACGGCGUGCUUGACAGAUAUACGAGAGGUUGGUGCUGGGGGCACGGCUAGGUCACCGCUCUGUCCUGAAUCUUGGCUAGCUGCCUGCAGGUUCUCGUCGCCCAUCUCUCCCUCACAGCUGCCUUCAACUGACAUUUUACCCUGCAGCAUUGGUGGAAAAAAAUAAGCCUGGUAUUGUGGACUAAAAAAUAAAAACUUGGGAUUCAGACUUUCAGAGAAUUCAAAAAACAUAUUGACUUUUCUCUGAUAUACAGUUAUCAAAUGGAUCCUAUAUAAAAUUCCGGUGCAUUCCACAACUGAAUCCAAUACACAAUGCAUGUGUAGACAGUGUGGAUUUGAAAGUUCUGAAACUUUCUAUUCCUAGAGACUGAAACUAGAAAUAUAGUUAUGAACUGAAAUUUCAGACUGAAUCUAUGUGGCCCUAUGCAUGUAAGGUAAAAUGGAUCCUGCAGGACAGUGUUGCUGCAUUGCAAAAACUGGAUGUAAUAUACUAUGAAUCAAUAAAACAUUAUGGACCUGUAAUGAUUUUCGUGCCCUGGAUCGUAUAAUCCAUGAAUGAAUGCAUGCAUUUUUUGUUGCUAAAGAAAAAUGAAUCUGUGAACCUAUGAAUCUAUAAACAAUCUUAAUGUCAAACUGGACCGUUCAAUCUGUGAAGCUAAAUACUCCCUCUGUCCCAUAAUGUAGGACGUUUUUUGA